rnacentral:rRNA from 1 species
UACGGAGGGUGCAAACGUUGCUCGGAAUCAUUGGGCGUAAAGCGCACGUAGGCGGUCCAGCAAGUCGGGUGUGAAAGCCCUCGGCUUAACCGAGGAAGUGCAUUCGAAACUACUGGACUUGAAUACUGGAGAGGAUCGCGGAAUUCCCGGUGUAGAGGUGAAAUUCGUAGAUAUCGGGAGGAACACCAGUGGCGAAGGCGGCGAUCUGGCCCGAUACUGACGCUGAGGCACGAAAGCGUGGGGAGCAAACGGG